rnacentral:rRNA from 1 species
GCGGGGCACGUGAAACCCUGUCUGAAUAUGGGGGGACCAUCCUCCAAGGCUAAAUACUCCUGACUGACCGAUAGUGAACCAGUACCGUGAGGGAAAGGCGAAAAGAACCCCGGAGAGGGGAGUGAAAUAGAUCCUGAAACCGUGUGCGUACAAGCAGUAGGAGCUCGCAAGAGUGACUGCGUACCUUUUGUAUAAUGGGUCAGCGACUUAUUUUCAGUGGCGAGCUUAACCGAAUAGGGGAGGCGUAGCGAAAGCGAGUGUUAAUAGCGCGUUUAGUCGCUGGGAAUAGACCCGAAACCGGGCGAUCUAU